rnacentral:rRNA from 1 species
AACGCGAAGAACCUUACCUGGGCUCGAACGGCUUUGGAAACUCCUUGGAAACAGGGAUUUCCCGCAAGGGACCGGAGUCGAGGUGCUGCAUGGCUGUCGUCAGCUCGUGUCGUGAGAUGUUGGGUUAAGUCCCGCAACGAGCGCAACCCUUGUCCUGUGUUGCCACUCCGUAAGGAAGCACUCGCAGGAGACCGCCAGCGAUAAGCUGGAGGAAGGUGGGGAUGAUGUCAAGUCAUCAUGGCCUUUAUGUCCAGGGCUACACACGUGCUACAAUGGCCGGUACAAAGCGCUGCAAACCCGCGAGGGGAAGCUAAUCGCAAAAAACCGGUCUCAGUUCGGAUCGCAGGCUGCAACUCGCCUGCGUGAAGCUGGAAUCGCUAGUAAUGGCGUAUCAGAACGAUGCCGUGAAUACGUUCCCGGGCCUUGUA